CGGGAAGAGCCCAUCGCCGAAUCCCAGCGGCCCCUUAGGCUCUGGGAGCUGUGGCGUGAGGCGGCUUCGGGCGCGCGAGUCCACGACGCCGAGGUCCUCCUGAUCGGGGCACCUUACCCAGAGCGGGUGUCAGGCCCGUUCGGGCGUCGGGUCUCAAGGGCCUGGAGCCACCAAGAGUCGGGUAGUUUUGGAAUGCUGCCCAAAGAGGGGUGGUGAACUCCAUCCAAG
rnacentral:rRNA from 1 species